UGAGGGUUAAGGCAAUCAUGAUAGCUAACAACAACUGCUCUGAGGGUCACCCAUGUUACUUCGAGCAGCUGUCACCUUUCAACCAUUGUCAAGUCCGAGCAUAGCCUUGUCUUUAAGCAGUGGGCUUGUGGCAAAUGCUAACAUUGUUUUCUUCGUAACCAUCUAGGAAUAGUUAGCUCGUGUCGACCCUUGGGUUACAUUUGUGACCUGGGUACAAGGACUAGAAAUGAUGUAGUGUCGCUAGCCCCAACACCAAAAAGAAUUAUAUAUAAUUAGUUGUGGGACAUCUGGUUCAUGACAAAUUUGCUGCAAGACAAAGUUGCAAAAUUUUAGGAUUUCGGGUACUGUAGCACUUUCGUUUUUAUUUGAUAAAUAUUAUCCAAUCAUAGACUAACUAAGCUCAAAAGAUUCGUCUCACAAAUUACAGCUGUGUAAUUAGUUUUUGUUUUCGUUUAUAUUUAAUAAAUCAUGCAUGUGCCGCAAGAUUCGAUGUGACGGAAAAUCUAAAUUUUUUGGCAAAAUUUUUUGAGAACUAAACAAAGCCUUAUUAAUCUGAGUCCUUUUUAUAUUAUUUUUUCUGUAUUCGGUUUUCAUAUAUGUACCGAUAACAUCCGUGAGAAUAUGUACUAAUGGAGACUAUCUAAAAGUUAUUCUAAUUACUAAGCUUUAAUAAUAUUACUAAUAUAUACUUCCUUCGUUCCAAAUGAUUAGCUUUUUCUUUUUUUUUCUAGAUACAUAGCUACAUAUAUAUUAUAUCUAGAUACAUAACAUCU
rnacentral:lncRNA from 1 species